AUUGAACGCUGGCGGCAUGCUUUACACAUGCAAGUCGAACGGCAGCACAGGGAGCUUGCUCCUGGGUGGCGAGUGGCGAACGGGUGAGUAAUGUAUCGGAACGUGCCUGGUAGUGGGGGAUAACUACUCGAAAGAGUGGCUAAUACCGCAUGAGAUCUUUGGAUGAAAGCGGGGGACCUUCGGGCCUCGUGCUACUGGAGCGGCCGAUAGCAGAUUAGGUUGUUGGUGGGGUAAAGGCCUACCAAGCCUGCGAUCGGUAGCUGGUCUGAGAGGGCGACCAGCCACACUGGGACUGAGACACGGCCCAGACUCCUACGGGAGGCAGCAGUGGGGAAUUUUGGACAAUGGGCGCAAGCCUGAUCCAGCAAUGCCGCGUGCAGGACGAAGGCCUUCGGGUUGUAAACUGCUUUUGUACAGAACGAAAAGUCUCUGGCUAAUAUCUAGAGAUCAUGACGGUACUGUAAGAAUAAGCACCGGCUAACUACGUG
rnacentral:rRNA from 1 species